CCUUCGCGACUCCAGUCCCACCUCCUCAUCCCCACUGGACGCGGUUCUCGCGCUGACGCGGCGGGCUAGGGUCGCACCUCGAGAAGGAAAGGAUAGUAAUGUAAAAACAGACCGUCAUCAACAAGUUUAAUAAUAGGACAGAUGGUGCCUUUUCACUCUCAGCUUGAGAGGAUGAAGAUAUUAACAUCUCUACCUCCCAAGAUUGGUUUCGAAGGAUACCUUCUUAUCCAUCAUGCCCAGCUGCUGGAGAACCUGGCCUGACCCUGUUAUGGUGACCUCUGGUGUGGGUUUCCUGCCUGCCCCACUGUCUCCAGGGCCCCAAAGGGAAGAGACCCCAACAGAAGAAUCCUCAACAGGAAAAAAUGAUCAGUCAUAGGCCCCAUCAGGGAAAGAUGUGCAUUGCAUCUCCUACAAGUAAUGGAUUACCUGGGAACUCAGCCAAUGAGAAACUGUCAUCACCCUGGACUCAUGCUUUUCUCCAAUGAUCUUUUGUGCAAAACAACUCCUCCCAACUUCCUCCUCCCUCUCCAUAAAAUAAGGUUCCUCUGCUUUGU